UAUACCUUAUUUUACCUAACAAAUACAUCCUGGGUCAGAAUGACAUACAGUAACAUUCAUGUAUUUGUCCUUGAUGUCCCUAAGACAUGCCUGAAGUUUAACUAACGGUUCUGUUUCAUCCGGCUUCGUAGACAAAUAGAGCUGAGUAUCAUCAGCAUAACAAUGAACAUGUAUCCACCUUAUUCCUGGAGCCUCUACUGUAGAAACAAUUGUGGGUGCAACUUCCGAUUAGACGCCGGAAGUAGCAUAACGCCACUGACUAACCAUGGCAGCUGAGCGCGAACAGCGGUUUAUUUUAAAGCAAUUUGCUUUCAAUCUAGCAGAGAAGUUACGGUUUUGUUUUCUGACAUUUAAUGUUUAACAUAUUUAUCAACCCUAGCAUUUACUAAAAUGUCCUUGCGGAGCUCGGGUAUGUCGUUUUGUGGAGGAAAACCUGCAUCAUACUUUGUGGCUGAGAUCCGACAAACCACCGGAGGAGAGACGGGAAUCACCAGAGGAUUGACAGGAAUGUCAUGAAAUAUCAGAUGAGCCUGACCAGAUGGAUCAGGAGGAGGAGCUGUGCUCAACACCAAAGCUUCCUGUGAUGCCCAAACACAGUGGUCAGACCCAGGGAUGGAGGACCACACCUAUUCUAUUAUUUACGUGCUGGAGAUGAGGUGAUGGGUGACUGUGGUUUACAGUUAGAGACUUGCUGGAGGAGCGUAGGGUGAAGCUAAUCAUUCCAGCAUUCACACGUAAAGGAUGCCAGCUGACCAGUCAGGAGGUCCCUCACACACGCCGCAUUGCUCAUGCCCGCAUUCAUGUUGAAUAAGGAACCUGGAGGUGUACAAGAUUCUUUCUCAAACAGGGCCAAUUAACUUUGUGCCCAAAAUUGACAAAAUGCUCAAGAUUUGUGCUGGUUUAGUGAAUUAAAGAGCUGAGUUUAUUUCAAGUGAAAAGUGAGAAGACAUUUAAUAUUGCACUUAAACAUACUUACAUAUUUCAUUCAUUUAACAUUUUCUGAAAACAAUUGAGGUACAGUUACACUUACAGUAUCUUUAACACAUAACUCUCAACAGGUUAAGUGCUGUAUGUAGUUUGUAGAGCUGCACUUACAUAUUUCAUUCAUUUAACAUUUUCUGAAAACCACUGAGGUCCAGCUGCAAUUGUUAUUUUUUUUUGAGGAAAUAAAAGUCCAAAUAGUGUGAUUUCAGCUUGUCAGGUGUGAAUAUUUUCUGGUUUCUGAAGUCCUCCGACAGUAAACUGAAUCUCUCUCACUUAAGACACAAAUGUAAUGUGCUUUUGUUAAACAAUAUUUUUGUGUUAAAAUGUUUUGAUUCAUGUCCCUAUAUUGUAUGUCCUAAUAUGUCAGGAGGGGAUCUUUCAGGUUCUGUUUUUAAUAAAACUGAAAACAAAAAUGAA